rnacentral:misc_RNA from 1 species
AAGAAUUAUCUUGAAAAAAUGGGGCUUGGUUGCCUUAAACAUCAAACGUCCAUCGCCUUUCUUGGGGCAAGAAUCCAUCGCUGAAUAGCACUGUUGAUCUUAUAGCUUUCUAGUGAACGCUAUUCGCAUUUUAUAUGACAAGUAGCUGACUGCUGCUCUGUUUUUGUCAUCGGAAGGCCAAAAGAUUAUUAAUAAUGAGAAGGGUAUAAGCUUUAGAAUAAAAAUAUUGGCCGGAUGGAUGUUAUUUUGAAUGAUGGAGAAUCUGAACAGGCAGAGAAAUGUAAAAGUUAUCAU